ACAUAGCAUAUUAUCUCAUGGAACUAUUGGUUGUUGAUUUACUUAAGUUGUUGCCUAUAUUGUCAAAUGCGUAUUUGAAGACUCGACGGAGUUGUGGAUUAGAAAUUCUCAUCUAGGCUUGUAACUUGAUUUAAUGUAGAUCUUUGGUGAUUAUUAUUAUUGUGAACUUUUAUUUAAACUUGAAUUAAUAAUUGUGCUUCAUUGACUUGACGGUUCUACUUGUCGCACUAUACGAUUUACUUUAUCUAA
rnacentral:lncRNA from 1 species